CCUACGGGGCGCAGCAGGCGCGAAAACUUUACAAUGCUGGAAACAGCGAUAAGGGGACCUCGAGUGCCAGGUUACAAAUCUGGCUGUCGUGAUGCCUAAAAAGCAUUGCAUAGCAAGGGCCGGGCAAGACCGGUGCCAGCCGCCGCGGUAACACCGGCGGCUCGAGUGGUAACCGUUAUUAUUGGGUCUAAAGGGUCUGUAGCCGGCCGGAUAAGUCUCUUGGGAAAUCUGGCAGCUUAACUGUCAGGCUUUCAGGAGAUACUGUUCGGCUCGAGGCCGGGAGAGGUGAGAGGUACUUCAGGGGUAGGGGUGAAAUCUUGUAAUCCUUGAAGGACCACCAGUGGCGAAGGCGUCUCACCAGAACGGACCUGACGGCAAGGGACGAAAGCUGGGGGAGCAAACCGGAUUAGAUACCCCUGUAGUCC
rnacentral:rRNA from 1 species